rnacentral:rRNA from 1 species
AUGAAACACUAUGCUGAUAUGAAAAGAGUAGAGAGAACUUUUCAAGUGGGAGAGCUAGUCUAUUUGAAAAUGGCUCCAUACAGAUUGGCUGCCUUUGGGUUUCGAGGAGCUCUGAAACUCCAAAACAAAUACUACGGCCCCUUCCUGAUCACACAAAAAGUGGGACGAUCAGCUCACAAGUUACAACUUUCUGACGAUGUCAAGAUACAUCCUGUGUUCCAUGUGAGCCAGAUCAAGAAACACAUUGGAGAAAAAUCAAUAGCCAGUCCCUACCUACCAAUGGUAAAUGCAGAUGUAAUGAUGAAAACAGGUCCAACUGCAGUUCUGCAAGUCAGGCAAAUUCCCAAGCACAAUGCUCUUGUUGUCCAGUGGCUUAUUCAGUGGCAGAACUUGCCGGCAGAAGAUGCCACAUGGGAAGACGCCAAUUUCAUCAAAUAUAAUUUUCCCGAAUUCUUCAAAUCAACAACUCAAGUGUGGCGCGAGGCAGAACACACGCCGUGA